AUGAACCUGCUGCUGAUUUUCCUGUUCAUGCUGGUGGCCCCUUUAGGUGUCCUCUCCCAAGUGCAGCUGCGGGAACCGGGCCCGGGAGCGGUGAAACCCGGGGAGUCCCUGACACUCACUUGUACCAUCUCCGUAGACUCGGUUUCUAGCACCAGCACCACCUGGAACUGGGUCCGGCAGCCCGCGGGGAAAGGGCUGGAAUGGAUGGGACGCGCAUUCUAUAGCUCCCCCAGGUGGUACACACACUGCACCGGCUCUCUGCAGAGUCCAGUGACCCUCACACAAGACACUUCCAAGAACCAGGUCUCCCUGCAGCUCCGCUCGCUGUCAGCUGCAGACACCGCCACCUAUUACUGCGCCAGAGGCAAUGCUCGGGGACACACAAGCAGGCAGCUGUACGAAAAGGGGACUUUUUUUUGA